rnacentral:rRNA from 1 species
GGCAUAAGCCAGUUUGAAUGGUAGAGUGACAACUCGAGCUGGUACGAAAGUAGGUCUUAGUGAUCCGGUGGUUCAGAAUGGAAGGGCCAUCGCUCAACGGAUAAAAGGUACUCCGUGGAUAACAGGCUGAUACCGCCCAAGAGUUCAUAUCGACGGCGGUGUUUGGCACCUCGAUGUCGGCUCAUCACAUCCUGGGGCUGAAGUAGGUCCCAAGGGUAUGGCUGUUCGCCAUUUAAAGUGGUACGCGAGCUGGGUUUAGAACGUCGUGAGACAGUUCGGUCCCUAUCUGCCGUGGGCGUUGGAAGAUUGAAAGGGGCUGCUCCUAGUACGAGAGGACCGGAGUGGACGCACCACUGGUGUUCGGGUUGUCAUGCCAAUGGCAUUGCCCGGUAGCUAAGUGCGGAAGAGAUAACCGCUGAAAGCAUCUAAGCGGGAAACUUGCCUUGAGAUGAGUCUUCCCUGACCCUUAAAGGGUCCUAAAGGAACGUUUAAGACUAAGACGUUGAUAGGUUGGGUGUGUAAGCGUAGCGAUACGUUGAGCUAACCAAUACUAAUGAACCGUGAGGCUUAACCU